AUGGGGAAUUCCCCUUCCGAGGCCGAGGCUCGGGUGAGUCGUGGACCCCGGCCUGGGAGCCCAGCUUACUGGCCGCGCCCCCGGCGCCGCCAUCUUGCUCGUGUUGGGACUCCCGCGGCGAGAGGGGCGGCGACCGGCCCGGAAGCGGCUGGACGCUGGCCGCGCUGCCUCCUCAGUUUUUCAUUGUGGCUACUAGAAGAUUUUAAGUCAUAUGGCUCACACUAUAUUUCUGGUGGACGAUGCUUUUAUAGAUGUUCUAGUGAGGAACACAGAAUUAACACGGCUUUCCUUUGCUCAGAAACCAUUGAUGGGAAUUGAAUACCUGUUAACCUUGAAGGUGAUCUAAAUGUAAGCUAUAAUGAUUGCAAACCCCCAGUUUUUCAAUCUCUCCAACAUUUGAAAACACUAACUUCCAGGGCUGUUUGAGGGAAUGGUACUGACACUAACGUGUGAUGCAAAGAACUUACUUAAUUUGAUUGUCAUAGCUUUGUGAGAUGGAGAUAGGAUGCAUUCUGUCUCAUCUUGGACUAUAAAGGGACUUGCUAGGGUCUAACUAGUGGCCAGAGGUCUUCGGCCUCCAGGUUCAGUUUUUUCUGCUCUCCACCAUAUUCCUAGUGUUAAUGUUCAUGAGUUAGGAUCCAUCUGUAUUGUGUGUUGGAUUGUAAAGAAAUAGAUUUCUUCAGAGGGUGCUUAUAGAUAUACCUCUCUCUUCAGGGCUAGCUUCAUGGCAUGUAACCUGUGCAGUCAUGCAAGGCCCAUCGUUUAGAAGGGCUGGCACUUUGGUUUAAUGCUCAGCUGUUACCGUCUUGAAAUUCUUAAUAAUUUUUUAACAAGGACGCCUUGCGUUUUCAUUUUGAAAUGAUGUAGCUGAUCCUUUAUGCAUAAUCUAGGGUGGGAGUUGGGAGGUGUUGGACAAGAACCAAAACAUCUGAUCUUCCCUUUAACUCCUGUGUGAAAUGAGAAGGGUUUGCUGUUGGCUUUCUGGCUCUCAAGUUCUGUGAUUCUGUACGUUACUGUAGUCAUAUUUUGUGGAUAGUAAUACAAAUAUUUUACAUGCUUAACGUCAGAAGAAAUGCUGCUAAUUCUCCACUGAGAGUCAUGUAAAUCAAAUAGUUUUCUAAAUUACAGUAUCAAUUUCUAUUUGUGUUUUUUAAGAUGGGUUUUUCCAUGUGGCACCAAAUUUUCCUACUGUAGAUCUUUUAAAGAGUGCGGUCUGCAAUGGAAGUCUAGAUAAAAAGUGUGUUUAUUUAAGCAUUUAUCUUUUAUUGAGAUAUGAAGAUGGGCCAGCUCUUAGGACACUUCAAAUUAAGAGGUUUCCUCUGAGGGCAUGAGUAUGAACGCUUACCUGGCAGUAUCUGCUCUUUUUAUUGUCUUAGCUACUUCCUAUUGCAUGAGGUUCCUCUCUUCCUUCUCAUUCUUAAAUUUUUAAAUUCUCUUUAAGGUUGGACAUAACUUCAGCACCAGAAUGAGGGUUUAUUAGACUAGUCUAUUUGUCUGCUUGGGCUGCCAUAACAAAAUACCAUAGACUGGGCUGCUUAAACAACAGAGAUUUAUUUUCCCACAGUUAUGGAGCCCAGAAGUCUGAAAUCAGGGUGCCAGCAUGGCCCAGUUCUGGUGAGAGCUCUCUUCCUGCCUUGCAGACAGCUGCCUUUUCGUUCUAUCCUCACCUGGUGGGGAGAAAGCUCUGGUAUUUUCCUCUUCUUAUAAGAGUACCAGUCCUAUCUGAUCAGAGCUCCACCCUUAUGACUUCAUUUAACGUUAAUCACCUCCUUAAAGGCUCUAUCUCCAAUACAGUCAUGGGGGAUUAGAGCUUCAAGAUAUGAAGUUUGGGGGAACACAGUUCAGUCCAUAGCAACCAGGGCCUUAUCUGUCACUGUUCACUACUGCAUUCCCAGCAUUUAGAACAGUGUCUAGAACAUAGAGGAUGCCCAAUAGAUAUUUACAGAAUAAAUGAAAGGCAGUGUAUUAGAGUGAUCCUUUC
rnacentral:lncRNA from 1 species